rnacentral:rRNA from 1 species
AUGUGAUAAUUAAUGUAAAUUGCAGAAUUCAGUGAAUCAUCGAGUUUUUGAAUACACAUUGCGCCCCAUGGUAUGCCGUGGGGCAUGCCCGUCUCAGAGUUAGUGAAACUAUCUCAGGCUGUAGCUUUUGUGCUCUGUCCGGAUUAUAUCAAAGAAGUGGAGUUAAGUCUACUCUUUGCAAAACAAUAGAUACCUUGAAAACUUGCUUGAGGCCAACAUAAUAAGAAAAUCCGGUGGUCAAAAGCAAAAAUGAUUUCUUGUGGUAUUUUUUGGCAAGCCAAAAUUUUUAUUAGGAAUUUAACCUGAGAUCAGGUAGGGAUACCCGCUGAACUUAA